CCACACAUAUAUUUUUCUCUUGUCGUCUUGUCUUGUUCUUGUUGUUUUGCUUUUCUUCCUUUAGCCUGCUGGGCUUUGUAGUAUAUAUUUUGUGAAUGAAAUGAAAAGAAGAUUUUGCAUUACGUCGUCCAUGCAUUGCAUUAAAUUAUCGUCCACCGAACUUCUUCUUUUUUUCACUUUCUUCUUUUUUUUUUUUGACUUGUUCGGCGUCGGUGUUGCACGGAGAUGCC
rnacentral:lncRNA from 1 species